rnacentral:rRNA from 1 species
UACAGAGGGGGCAAGCGUUAUUCGGAAUUAUUGGGCGUAAAGGGCGCGUAGGCGGCUUUGCAAGUGACGGGUGAAAUCCCUCGGCUUAACCGAGGAACUGCCUGUCAAACUGCAUGGCUUGAGACCGGAAGAGGUAAGUGGAACUGCGAGUGUAGAGGUGAAAUUCGUAGAUAUUCGCAAGAACACCAGUGGCGAAGGCGGCUUACUGGUCCGGUACUGACGCUGAGGUGCGAAAGCGUGGGGAGCAAACAGGG